GAUGAACGCUGGCGGCGUGCCUAAUACAUGCAAGUCGAACGAGUUCUGAUUAUUGAAAGGUGCUUGCAUCUUGAUUUAAUUUUGAACGAGUGGCGGACGGGUGAGUAACACGUGGGUAACCUGCCCUUAAGUGGGGGAUAACAUUUGGAAACAGAUGCUAAUACCGCAUAAAUCCAAGAACCGCAUGGUUCUUGGCUGAAAGAUGGCGUAAGCUAUCGCUUUUGGAUGGACCCGCGGCGUAUUAGCUAGUUGGUGAGGUAACGGCUCACCAAGGCAAUGAUACGUAGCCGAACUGAGAGGUUGAUCGGCCACAUUGGGACUGAGACACGGCCCAAACUCCUAUGGGAGGCAGCAGUAGGGAAUCUUCCACAAUGGACGCAAGUCUGAUGGAGCAACGCCGCGUGAGUGAAGAAGGCUUUCGGGUCGUAAAACUCUGUUGUUGGAGAAGAAUGGUCGGCAGAGUAACUGUUGUCGGCGUGACGGUACCCAACCAGAAAGCCACGGCUAACUACGUGCCAGCAGCCGCGGUAAUACGUAGGUGGCAAGCGUUAUCCGGAUUUAUUGGGCGUAAAGCGAGCGCAGGCGGUUUUUUAAGUCUGAUGUGAAAGCCCUCGGCUUAACCGAGGAAGUGCAUCGGAAACUGGAAAACUUGAGUGCAGAAGAGGACAGUGGAACUCCAUGUGUAGCGGUGAAAUGCGUAGAUAUAUGGAAGAACACCAGUGGCGAAGGCGGCUGUCUGGUCUGUAACUGACGCUGAGGCUCGAAAGCAUGGGUAGCGAACAGG
rnacentral:rRNA from 2 species